rnacentral:piRNA from 1 species
UGAUUUGGAGACUCCUGAUGUUCAUAUGCCC